CACCAAAGACUUUUGUCAGGAUGUCUUCCUAUUUUCACUCACGAAGUAUGUCUGUUACGGCUUUGGAAGAAUAAGAGGUCUCCGCUUCUGUACUACCCGUUUUGGGUUUGUCGGAUUGUGAAGGUGUCGUUUUGACUGCCAUCACUUAGGAGUUCCAGAGAGUCUUAUGAGUUGAACUCUGAAGGGUUGUUCACUUUGUGAUCUUGACCCAUUCAUGGAUGAUGUUCGUAGUAAAGACUCUCACAUUC
rnacentral:snoRNA from 1 species